rnacentral:rRNA from 1 species
CCUACGGGAGACAGCAGUAGGGAAUCUUCCACAAUGGACGAAAGUCUGAUGGAGCAACGCCGCGUGAGUGAAGAAGGUUUUCGGCUCGUAAAGCUCUGUUGUUAGUGAAGAAAGAUCGUGAUAGUAACUGUUCUCUAUUUGACGGUAAUUACUUAGAAAGUCACGGCUAACUACGUGCCAGCAGCCGCGGUAAUACGUAGGUGGCAAGCGUUGUCCGGAUUUAUUGGGCGUAAAGGGAGUGCAGGCGGUGGAAUAAGUCUGAUGUGAAAGCCUUCGGCUCAACCGGAGAAUUGCAUCAGAAACUGUGGAACUUGAGUGCAGAAGAGGAGAGUGGAACUCCAUGUGUAGCGGUGGAAUGCGUAGAUAUAUGGAAGAACACCAGUGGCGAAGGCGGCUCUCUGGUCUGCAACUGACGCUGAGGCUCGAAAGCAUGGGUAGCGAACAGGAUUAGAUACCCUAGUAGUC